AAUCCCAAUCUGAAUCGAAAUGAAUCUAAUUCAAUUAAACUUGUUCUAAAGUAUUUUACUCAAUCGAAUUGAGUCAAUUAGUAAUCUAAUUACUAAUUAAUUUUUCAUGAAUGAUAGAAUUCCAGUCCCAGUGGGACUCUGCCACAGAAUCCUAAUCCAAGUAGGACUCUUCACCAGAGUCACAAUCCAAUUGGACGGUGAAUCACAAUCCAAUUGGACUCUUCAGCCAUC
rnacentral:lncRNA from 1 species